rnacentral:lncRNA from 1 species
GGAGUGGUACCAAAUAACAAAAUAUCUGGCUUUUUGAAGGUGUUUUCAUGAUAUACCAAAGAUUUCGAAUGAUAAUUUGUUGAAUCUGGGUCUAGAUUCUCCUGAUUCUACCAAUAAAGUUUUGGUAAAGGUUACACUCAUUGUAUCAAGAAUAAGAAACAUCCAUAAAUAGACUAAUAGAUAUUCCACUAUUCGGAUUUUUGUUUAGCAUAUUCUACUAAGCGGAACAUCCUUUGGUCCCCAUUACCUAGUGCAGACCGGCCCCAAAAUCUUUCUGGCAUGCUAUUCAAAUAUUCGGACGCCUGGGCCAUGCCGUGUGACAGAUGUGAAAUGUUAAUUUUCCUCCCUCCUUCCCAACAACACCCCGUUUCAUCCACCACCACAGUAAAAGGGUAUAUUGGUAAUGUGAUAGGACCAUCCACCCAGUUGACCAAAUACCCCAUCCCUUCCUUCCCUCCGCCUAGAUCUUCCACAUCCAAAAACAUUCCACCAUCAGUUCCCCUUCACCUCCUCACCCCCAUCCAAAAAAUCUUCACCUCCUUCUAGCCUCCACCCCAAAUCUUCACCUCCUCCUCGAUGCCAACCCAAAUCUUCACCUGCUCACCACCAUCUACAAUCUUCCCCACAUAGCUGCCGCCCAUUUCCCAUCUCCCUUUGUAGGACCA